rnacentral:snRNA from 1 species
GUGCUCGCUUUGGCAGCACAUAUACUAAACUUGGAACGAUACAGAGAAGAUUAGCAUGGCCCUGCGCAAGAAUGACACGCAAAUUCGUGAAGCAUUCCAUAUUUUU